rnacentral:rRNA from 1 species
CCUACGGGAGGCAGCAGUGGGGAAUAUUGGACAAUGGGGGAAAGCCUGAUCCAGCAAUGCCGUGAAGUGCUGAAGGCCUUAGGGUCGUAAAGCUUUUACCAGGGAUGAUAAUGACAGUACCUGGAGAAUAAGCUCCGGCUAACUCCGUGCCAGCAGCCGC